rnacentral:rRNA from 1 species
CAGCCGCCGCGGUAAUACGUAGGUGGCAAGCGUUGUCCGGAAUUAUUGGGCGUAAAGGGCUCGCAGGCGGUUUCUUAAGUCUGAUGUGAAAGCCCCCGGCUCAACCGGGGAGGGUCAUUGGAAACUGGGAAACUUGAGUGCAGAAGAGGAGAGUGGAAUUCCACGUGUAGCGGCGAAAUGCGUUGAGAUGUGGAGGAACACCAAUGGCGAAGGCGACUCUCUGGUCUGUAACUGACGCUGAGGAGCGAAAGCGUGGGGAGCGAACAGGAUUAGAUACCCCAGUAGUCCCUGUCUCUUAUAC